rnacentral:miRNA from 1 species
UGAUAAUGAUGAUGAUGAUAAUGAUGAUGAUGAUGAUGAUGAUACUACUACACUAUCUUAAGGAUCCUUCAUCAGUGGCAUGCACUAUUAUCAUCAUCGUUAUUUUCAUCGACCUUA